GUGAACGCUGGCGGUAGGCCUAACACAUGCAAGUCGAACGGCAGCACAGUAAGAGCUUGCUCUUACGGGUGGCGAGUGGCGGACGGGUGAGGAAUACAUCGGAAUCUACUUUUUCGUGGGGGAUAACGUAGGGAAACUUACGCUAAUACCGCAUACGACCUACGGGUGAAAGCAGGGGAUCUUCGGACCUUGCGCGAUUGAAUGAGCCGAUGUCGGAUUAGCUAGUUGGCGGGGUAAAGGCCCACCAAGGCGACGAUCCGUAGCUGGUCUGAGAGGAUGAUCAGCCACACUGGAACUGAGACACGGUCCAGACUCCUACGGGAGGCAGCAGUGGGGAAUAUUGGACAAUGGGGGCAAGCCUGAUCCAGCCAUACCGCGUGGGUGAAGAAGGCCUUCGGGUUGUAAAGCCCUUUUGUUGGGAAAGAAAAGCAGCAGGUUAAUACCCCGCUGUUCUGACGGUACCCAAAGAAUAAGCACCGGCUAACUUCGUG
rnacentral:rRNA from 1 species